UACGUAGGGUGCAAGCGUUGUCCGGAAUUAUUGGGCGUAAAGAGCUCGUAGGCGGUCUGUCGCGUCGGCUGUGAAAACCUGGGGCUUAACUCCGGGCCUGCAGCCGAUACGGGCAGACUAGAGUUCGGCAGGGGAGACUGGAAUUCCUGGUGUAGCGGUGAAAUGCGCAGAUAUCAGGAGGAACACCGGUGGCGAAAGCGGGUCUCUGGGCCGAAACUGACGCUGAGGAGCGAAAGCGUGGGGAGCAAACAGG
rnacentral:rRNA from 1 species